GAUGAACGCUAGCGACGGGCUUAACACAUGCAAGUCGAGGGGCAGCACGAUUGAAGCUUGCUUUAAUUGGUGGCGACCGGCGCACGGGUGAGUAACGCGUAUGCAACCUACCCAUCAGAGUGGGAUAACCCGGCGAAAGUCGGACUAAUACCGCAUAAAACAGGGAUCCCGCAUGGGAAUAUUUCUUAAAGGAAGAAUUGCGGAUGGAUGUGCAUGGGUUCCAUUAGAUGGUUGGUGAGGUAACGGCGCACCAACUCUGCGAUGGAUAGGGGUUCUGAGAGGAAGGUCCCCCACACUGGUACUGAGACACGGACCAGACUCGUACGGGAGGCAGCAGUGAGGAAUAUUGUUCAAUGCGCGAGAGCCUGAACCAGCCAAGUCGCGUGAAGGAUGACUGCCCUAUGGGUUGUAAACUUCUUUUAUUGGGGAAUAAUGGGUGGGACGUGUCCUGCAAGCGAAUGUGCCCUAUGAAUAAGCAUCGGCUAACUCCGUGCCAGCCGCCGCGGUAA
rnacentral:rRNA from 1 species